GUAGUCCACGCCCUAAACGAUGAUAACUCGUUGUUGGCGAUACACAGUCAGCGACUAAGCGAAAGCAUUAAGUUAUCCACCUGGGGAGUACGACCGCAAGGUUGAAACUCAAAGGAAUUGACGGGGGCCCGCACAAGCGGAGGAGCAUGUGGUUUAAUUCGAUGAUACGCGAGGAACCUUACCUGGGCUUGAAAGUUAGUGACAUUCUGUGAAAGCAGAACUUCCGCAAGGACACGAAACUAGGUGCUGCAUGGCUGUCGUCAGCUCGUGCCGUGAGGUGUUGGGUUAAGUCCCGUAACGAGCGCAACCCCUAUCAUUAGUUGCCAUCAGGUCAUGCUGGGGACUCUAAUGAGACUGCCCGCGCAAGCGGUGA
rnacentral:rRNA from 1 species